rnacentral:rRNA from 1 species
AUGAGCGGAACUGGGUACACGGUGGAAGUCACUAACCUGUCAAGCAGCGCAUCUGAGAAUGAUCUUCAUGAGUUCUUCUCAUUCUCUGGACCUAUUGAGCAUAUAGACCUUAUCAGAUCAGGAGGAUAUGGUUCAACUGCUUAUGUGACUUUCAAGGAACCCUAUGCCUUGGAAACUGCAGUAUUACUCAGUGGGGCGACCAUUGUGGAUCAGCCGGUGUGCAUAUCUCGUUGGGGACAGCCUGAUGAGCCUUGUAAUUUCUGGGACAGGCCAACUUGGCAGGUCGAGGAGGAAAUUGAAUAUAGGGACUACCAAUCAUGCCAGUUCAACGCCACUCCACAGGAAGCAUUGACAGUGGCUCAGGACGUCGUGAAGACAAUGCUGUCAAGGGGAUAUAUACUGAGCAAGGACGCAUUGUCCAGGGCUAGAGCUUUCGACGAGUCCCACCAGCUAUCUGGGUCUGCGGCAGCAAAGGCUGCAGAGCUGAGCAGGAGGCUCGGCCUGACCGACAGAGUCAGUGCUGGUGUUGGUGCAAUCAGAUCAGUGGACGAGACAUACCAUGUUACCGAGACGACCAAGACCGUCGCCACUGCCACCGGAAGAACAGCGGUCAAGGUUAUGAACACCAUCGUGACCAGCAGCUACUUCUCCGCGGGAGCUAUGAUGGUGUCUGAGGCUCUCACCCGCGCCGCCAAGGCCGCUGAAAAUCUGGCUGCUCACGGCAGGCAGAAUUAA